GAGAGAGGCAUGCUAGCAACGAAGACUGCUAAUCUUCAGCACAACCUUGGUUGAACCCCGGGGCUCACUGG
rnacentral:tRNA from 1 species